UACGGAGGGUGCAAGCGUUAUCCGGAUUCACUGGGUUUAAAGGGUGCGUAGGUGGGUUGGUAAGUCAGUGGUGAAAUCUCCGAGCUUAACUUGGAAACUGCCAUUGAUACUAUCAGUCUUGAAUACCGUGGAGGUCAGCGGAAUAUGUCAUGGUAGCGGUGAAAUGCUUAGAUAUGACAUAGAACACCAAUUGCGAAGGCAGCUGACUACGCGAAUAUUGACACUGAUGCACGAAAGCGUGGGGAUAAACAG
rnacentral:rRNA from 1 species